UACGUAGGUGGCAAGCGUUGUCCGGAAUCACUGGGCGUAAAGCGCACGUAGGCGGACUCUUAAGUCGGGGGUGAAAUCCUGGAGCUCAACUCCAGAACUGCCUUCGAUACUGGGAGUCUUGAGUUCGGGAGAGGUGAGUGGAACUGCGAGUGUAGAGGUGAAAUUCGUAGAUAUUCGCAAGAACACCAGUGGCGAAGGCGGCUCACUGGCCCGAUACUGACGCUGAGUGC
rnacentral:rRNA from 1 species